AAUAUAAUGCAGCCAUGGUUAGUGACAAGCCUAAUUGAAAAAUGCAGAGUCUAUU
ncrna:unclassified sequences type-P1 twister ribozyme